rnacentral:misc_RNA from 1 species
CGGAGCAAGUCCGGCAUCAAGGUUUU